rnacentral:rRNA from 1 species
GUUCCACACGUACCCAUCCCGAACACGACCGUUAAGCCCUCCAGCGCCGAUGGUACUUGGACCGAAGGGUCCUGGGAGAGUAGGACGUUGCCAAGC